CUGCAGCUCAAGUGGUGACCGCUAUUAUUGGGCCUAAAACGUUCGUAGCCGGUCUAGUAAAUGCCUGGGUAAAUCGUGUAGCUUAACUAUACGACUUCCGGGUAGACUGCUAGACUUGAGAUCGGGAGAGGCUAGAGGUACUCCUGGGGUAGAGGUGAAAUUCUGUAAUCCUAGGGGGACCGCCAGUGGCGAAGGCGUCUAGCUAGAACGAGUCUGACGGUGAGGAACGAAGCCCUGGGGCGCAAACCGGAUUAGAGACCCGAGUAGUCC
rnacentral:rRNA from 1 species